AAUAGAUACCCCGGUAGUCCACGCCGUAAACGAUGGAUGCUAGCCGUUGGGCGAGCUUGCUCGUCAGUGGCGCAGCUAACGCAUUAAGCAUCCCGCCUGGGGAGUACGGUCGCAAGAUUAAAACUCAAAGGAAUUGACGGGGGGCCCGCACAAGCGGUGGAGCAUGUGGUUCAAUUCGAAGCAACGCGCAGAACCUUACCAACCCUUGACAUGUCCAGUAUGGGUUUCAGAGAUGAGACUCUUCAGUUCGGCUGGCUGGAACACAGGUGCUGCAUGGCUGUCGUCAGCUCGUGUCGUGAGAUGUUGGGUUAAGUCCCGCAACGAGCGCAACCCUCGCCCUUAGUUGCCAUCAUUUAGUUGGGCACUCGUAGGGGGACUGCCGGUGAUAAGCCGCGAGGAAGGUGGGGAUGACGUCAAGUCCUCAUGGCCCUUACGGGUUGGGCUACGACACGUGCUACAAUGGCGGGUGACAAUGGGAUGCAAAGGGGGUGACCCGUGUGCAAAGUCUCAAAAGCCGUCUCGU
rnacentral:rRNA from 1 species